GAGACCCGUACCCGAAAGUAAAACCCCAUGUGGCGAAGGCGAAUUGAUAGAGUAAACCAAAAUCAAAUUUCUAUUGAAUCUCGUCAGUUUCCCCGGACACAUUUUUAUUGGUUUUCUAGUGGAUUGUGAUUCGUCUUGCAACAUAAUUCUUUGUUACAAAUUGAUUGAAAGGAUCUAGCCGUAAUUUGGAAGCAGGUAAUUUUUUGACAUUUCAUAUAUAUGCUAUAAAACUGUGUGUUUGGAUUGUUGUGUGAGAAACUAUAAAGGGAUUUGACGGUGUGGUUCAGAGUUUUGCUUCUUUACGAUUUAUUACAUAUUAUUGUAAAGAAUUAUUUUCCUAGGGAAUAUAAUUUUUGAAUUGGUUUUGGAUUAUUUUACUUCUUUGAUAUGAAUCUGGUAUGAUAUAAAUUAGUUUUAGAUUAUUUUCUUAUAUGAUAUGAAUAUGUGGGCAGUGGAUUUGAAUUGUUUGGAUUAUUUUGCUUCUUUGCUUAUUUCUUGCCUCAUUCUAUUGUAUGUAUUGGAUGUUCUUCUAUGAUAUGACACAUCUUAAAUUAACUCUUGUUUAUUUCAUAGUGAAAAUAGUCAUGGAAAGAUUUUAUAAAAGAAAAUCUCUUGAGGAUGUGGAAAUCGUUGAUGUGGAGAUGUCAAAUAGAGGCGAUUUUGAUGUUGCACAACUUUCUAUCUAUUUUGAUAAUGAAGUGAUCGUACAAAUAUAUCAAAAGUAUGAAAAAUAGUAAAGAACAAUUAUAAGGUAUUUCAUUUUUAGUAUAAUGAUUGUAUUAUAAUGUUGUUAUUUUUUCACGUAUAUUAAUAUUGUCCGCACUGAAAAAAAUUUAUAGGUCUGUACUUGAAUACACCAGCAAGCAAAGAACAAUCUCGGAUCUCGCUCUCAGGUCAACAAGCUCUCUCCCCAGUCUACUGUUAUGGUUUUCAAUUGACACUGCGUGAAACAAAGUAUUCAAGCAAAAACCUUAGAAACAUAAUUUUGGGAUCCACCAAAUUACGAAGAAAAUAAACUCUUGAAAUUUUAUUGAUGUAAGAUGAUAAAAAAAUGAAUUAACCCUUUAUUUAUAAGGACUUACAUGAAAAUACAGUUUAAGCAAACUAAAAUUGAAAAUUAUUCAAAAUAAACUAAAUGAGAAAAAAUAGCACUAAAAUUUUAAAAGCAGUUUUCGAAUCCUAAAUGAACUCGGAUGGUUAAAAUUUAUCGUAUUUUACAACGAAGCAGUGGGUUCUACACGUCUCAUCAUUCUCUUUCGUGGAAUGAUAUUUUAAAGCCAAAUCGAUGUUCGGAUACUACACUUACUAUUUUUUCCAUUUUGAUCUAAUUCUUCUUCAAUCCAUUCAACAACCUAUCAAGAAAGAAGAAAAAUUGAAGCAUUCUGAGGAAUCAUUAAAGAAAGUCAUGUAUUUGAGUGUCUCUAUAUUCAUAUAUAAAGAAAUCAUUGGACUUAAUUUUAGUUGUGUGUUUCUUCCUCCAUCUGACUACCUUCUUUUCCAUCACUUUGAUUAAACUACAGCUCUAUUUGUUAUGUUUAUACGUUUUGCUCGCUCAAUGAUCAAUGUGGUACAAUUUGUAAGUGGAGCAUGACUAAAGAUAUUUCAAGGAAUUUAGAUAAUAAAUCUCCGAAGUAAUAAAUAAAUAGACAAGGUAAAAAUAAAAUAGAACCAAUGAUCAUCUCAAGUCUAAACCAUAUAACAUUAAAUUUUACCCACUAGUCUAAUCAGUGAUAAGUACACAAAUUUUAAAGUACAUUAUGCAAAGUAGAAAAUAAGUAUUUAUCUAUUACAAAAGUAAUAUUUUAUUUACUGUUAAGUAGUUUUUUUUUUUUUUCACUUAUAAGUAAUGUCAUAAAAAUUUUAUUUUUAAAAAAUAUUUAGGUUUAGCUCUAAUUCGACUUGAAGGUUUUAUUUAGCCAAUUUACUUUGACACGACGUACAGAAUUAUACAAUUAAAAGCAACAAGUCACUUUUUAAUUGUUUCUGAAUAAUUAAUUAAACAAGUCAAAUUAUCCUACAUUGAACUACCAGUUUGUAAUAUGAAAGCAAUAAAUAACACAAUAAUUGUUGAUGGAGAAACCCAACUGAGUAAAAAUACAGUGAACAAGACAUCCACUAUAGACAAUGAUGAACUUACUGUACGAUUCAGUUUAGAAAAUUCCACUAGACUUGUUGAUCUACUUCCUGUAAUUUUCAGGAUCCACUGGAAUGUGCUUCACUCAUGUGUUCUCAAUUUAGUAAAAUUGUCUAUCUCUUGUGGAUCACCAAUAAGUUAUUGUUCUUGUACUCUUCAAGUGCUUCUGGUCCAACAUCUCUUAAUCUUCAACAACCUCAAAAAUCUGUUGAGAAAGUACAUUCAUGUAUUUGUAUAGGAAGAAUGCAUUUUGGAUUAUACGAAGUUAAUUUUUUUCUCAAAAUAUGUGGUUGUUUGUAUUCAAGAAUCAAUGAAUAAAUCGAAAGCUUGGAAUGUGUUCUUAUAUCUUUGAAGGAUGAUAUGUAGGAGAAUUAUAAUGAGCAACCACUUCAAAAUUAGUGUUAGGAGUUGAGUAUAUAUAUAUUAGAAGGCAUUUAGGUAGUAUGGGCUAGAUAAAACUCUCGAAAAAUGCAAAAUAGGAUUUUUGGCAUAGUACCGUCGCUUGACUGCCAGGCAAGCAACUGAUGUGUCGCUCGAGCGAUAGUUCAGUAAUAGAUAGGAGAAAUUUACUCUUUUUUCGCUCAAGCAUCAGGUGGCGAUAGGCUAGCAUAAAUCCGACAACUCUUUCCUCCUUGUUUCGAACUCGAACACUAAGUUGCAUAUUUCAUUUAUACAAUAUUUCAAUCGACUCCUUGACUUUUAAUACUUUUCUUAUUAGUCCUUUUGUCUGAAGAAUUGUCAAUACAAUAAAAUCUUAACAAACUUCCCCUUUGACAUUCUGUAACAAAAUUAUAAAAUACAAAUCUAGGAAGUAAAAUCAAACUAAUUGACCCAAACCCGAACUGAAUGUCGUCUCUUGCAUUCUUUGUCCUGAAAUCAAUAACUCAAAUACUAAGUGUAAAAGCACGUGAUAUAAAAAAUAUAACAACUGAAACACAUUAUCAUAAAUAUGCUAGUUAGAUUGAGAAGUAAUACUAUUGUUAAUCAAAACCACCAAUUGAAAUAUUAAUAUCACCAAACAUCAAAAACUCAAAGAAUAUAUGCAUUAUGAUAUAAAAUGUCAUGAUUGAAAAAUACAAUUAUCUCUCUCCCUUACAAUCAUCUUUCCUCCUUACUACAAAUUCUCUCAAAAAUACAAUCAAAUACAAAUAUAAAUCUCUUUUUAAUUUCUCCAAUUCUUUAUAUAAUUUCUCUAACUCUAUAAUCUCUCUUCCCCCUUUUGUCACAAAUGACGAAUGGAACUUUAUCAAAUACAAUUCAACACGAAUAUAUAAUAACUCAAAAAUGCAAUCGAUAGUAUGCACAAGCAUAAUCAAUGAUUAGUAAACUUUCGCACAUACUUUAUUCAAGUUAAAAUGGAUUAAAUUGUAUAAGUGACCCAUGUUUGUAAAGUGUCAUUAAUCAUUUGUAAGCAGGACUCCAAACCUUAAUUUUGUAAUAAAUGACAUGCUAUCCGUCAUUGUCAAUAAAUUUAUCCCUCUACUUAUGAAAAUCAAACCAAAAGUAGCAUAUAGGGCCUAUAAAAAAAGCUCAUUUUGCAUGUAUAUUAUUCUUUUCUCCCCU
rnacentral:lncRNA from 1 species